rnacentral:lncRNA from 1 species
CGUAUCUUUAGAAGUAAGAGCAGACCACAUAUAAGCAGUUUGCUGAACUCACGAUAGCGUUCUAGAGGUCUGAGAGAGCAGGCACACUGCACGCUUUGUCCUUCGUUUCACCCACUACAUCUUCUGACCUUGUGUAGCGAGUUCUGGUGACAAGUCACCAUGAUUUAUACUUCCACAUCCAAUUUUACAAUUUUAAUCCUAAGUAUUUUCUCAUAAUCAUUUAAUCGUAAAGAAAGUGCAGCUCUGUGCCUAUGCAUAUUUUUACAGAGGGGAUAAUGUCACACGAGACAUAUCACGCUGCCACCCUUGAGAGAUGCUCUCCAGACAUGGCCACAAACCACUGAUACCACACGUUUUGCAUCCUAACAAGAGCAGCUGGAGUUAAUUGCUUAUGCUUCUCAUUUGCUCAUUUACAGCUGUGAUGCACAGAUCCACCCUUGCGAAGCUCAGCAACUCCUGUGCUACUCAGAAUUGCCUCUUCCAAGAGAUAGAACAUCUUCAAGCAAGCAGCAACAUGAAGAAUAAUAAAGGGCCUGUACACUCAGCAAGAGUAUUUACACGCUAAAUUGAUACAUGAAUCUACAAGGCUGUCAAUUAUGUUCUAAGCAUGCUUGAAGCAAUGGGCGUGAAACCUGUGCAACCAGCGACUUGUCACCGAAGCCCUUACUCAUUUUGCAAAGAAAGCAAAUAAAAAGAAUUGUUAUUAGUAACA